CUUUAUCUCCCACCCGGCUCCGCCCGCCGCCGGCUGCCUCCUGUCGCCGCUCCGUGCCGUACCGCUCUGCACAGCCGGGCGCAGCGCCGGGCAGGGCAGCGCCCAUGGGCUGCGGCAACUCCACGGCCGGCGGCGCGGGCGGGCGAGGUGCCACAGGGACUACUAAAGAUGUAGCAGAAGAAUCUGUAUCAGAUGAUGACAAAAGGAGGAAUUACGGUGGCGUGUAUGUUGGCCUGCCGUCAGAUGCGGCUGCCAUGGUUUCCAGUCAGACAAAAGCUACACCAAAAGAUUAGAAGGAAAUAAACACAUCAAGAUUCAGACAGCAGGAGUCUUCUACUAAGACAAGUUGCCAGUGCUUUAGAGAAAGCUGUCUUUGUGGUGAAGAUUUUUAUAUUUACGUAGCCUUCUGGAGAGCAAGAAAGACCACAGCACCAAAAAAUCUAAACUCGUGCAAGUUCCAACUACGGAGCUUCAGAGAAGUGUGGAGAACUUUGCAGAAUUGGCCUCUUAAUGACUCAUCCUUUGAAUGUGUGGGAGUUGUCACUCUUUCUCCAGCCAGAGCUGAGGAGCCAGUGAAAACACUUUAGUAAAGACAGUGGAUUCAGGCUUUAUAACCUCAGACUCUCCAAUUUGAGAUCCCUUGACAACCCUGAAAUAUUAUACUUGAAUUCACGUAACUUGGACAACCGAAUCUUGAAGAAUUCUGGAGUAUCAAAGCAUAGGACUGAAACUACAGUUCGUGAUUAGCUGAAAAACAAUCCAGCUAUCUUGUUGGAUUGCAAAUUUUGGUCUAGGACAAACUCUAGCACAAACUAUUUCACCUUGAAGACAACUGAUCCUUUGCAUUACACUGAUGAGACAGUGCAUUUAUAUUGCUUUCUUCUUAAAGUAGAACCUGGAGCUUAAGGAGUCGACUUCUCAGUAUCUGGGUAGUCCAGACAGAGAUACUGCCCAUCUCAUGGGUGCCAUCCACAUCACAAUGUAGCUCAGAGGAUGUGACAUAGCUUUAAACCUCAGUGUCACUCAAGGGUUAAAUCUGUCACUAAGAGGGUUGCAGAAGACCUGGUAAAGCCCAGUUAUGACUUUAAUCACUAAAAGCUAAAUCCUCUGAUAACAAAGAGUCCACACAAGGCUGAAGCUGCAGAAAAAAACUAAAGGUGAAAUUUGUCUUUAAUGAACACAAAGGCAAAGUACUAAUUUACUUGAUUUCAUCCUGCAUGUCUAGCAGAGGUGUCUGCUGUGUUGGGCUAUAGUUGAAAUGGCACCACUGGCGUAUUGUUCCUUGUCACCCACACAAGUCUAGUGAUUCUCAAUAAUCAUGCUUCCCAAGCAGUUGGUGAGUCACUGCUGAUCUGUUUUCUGCAAAGUAGACCUCUGUUUGGUUCCCAUGGUGAUCAGAAGUGACAGUUAUUACAGACUGCUACUACAGUUCCUCAGUUGCGUGUACCUUAAAAGAAGCUCUUAUCUGGUUAUAGUUCCUGGUUAUAGUUCCUUGGAGUUUUGCAGUUCAUAGUCAUCGCUUCCUAUUGAUAGCAAUUUGAACGCUCCAGGUGAAUUGGCUUUGUGGAGAACGUGCUGGAAGAGGGUAAUUUGUGGAGUAUUUUUGUUUUGCAAUGUAGUUAGAGAAAGAUCAAGAAAAUAACGGCUCUGUUAACUUUCCAUAGAGCAAUAGUGUGGCAUUAUUGCAGGAAAUCUUUUGAGGCUGGGCUAAAUAAUUCAACCCUCGUUUUAACAACAGACGUGCACAGAACUUGCAUUUCAUUUUAUAUGAUCUGGCAAUUUUUUGCUGUAACCCUAGGGUUUUCAAACAUAGCAGUAUUUCCCAGACAGCAAAACCCUGCUUGUAAGUGCUUAGAACAGAUGUCACCCAUGUUGUGGGAACUUCUGUUUACUGGGCACUUAUCUGGUCUUUAUUAAAAUACCUAUAGCUGAAGACAGAACCCUACUUGUGAAACAGAUCAUUCCAUAAAGUGCAGUGAAACUCACAGUAGCUUAACUGUACUGAGAAAAGAAUUAGAAAGAUACCAUGGGAUGGAGCCUGGAUGAAAGGAACUUCAUGUGUUGGAAAGGAGGAAACACAUAGGAGAAUGAGGAUUAUAAUAUUAUGCAGUGAAGACAGAUACAGAAGGAGGUUAGGAACAGAAAAUGACAUAAAAAAGGAAACAGUUUAAUUAAAUAUCUGCUCCAUUUUGCUGUGAUUCUAAUCUCUUGAAAGCAGAGCAAAAAGUAGACCACAGCCAAAUUGUUUUAAGACUGAAGAGAAAUGGAGAUAGGCUUAUCGCUUCAUUCCAACCCUCAGAUAUCUGAGAUUGCAAACCUUUUGGGAAAUAGUUUGUCUCAUUUUCAUUUGCUUAAUGUCCAGUGUAAUGAGCCCAUUGAACCUUAUAUGUCUUUUUUGGGUGUUAGCAGGAUAUAUGAAUAUCCUGCCUUCUCUUUCAACCUUUGUGUCGGUGUUUCCUUUGGUUAUGCCUCUCUAUGCAGACUGAAAUGUCUAAUGACUUUGGAAGUUUGCAUCAUGCUUGGAAAACAAUUUAGUAGACUGAGAAAAUACACAAGGUGUAUAAGUAAUUAACAGGCAUAGUACAAGGAAAGAUAUUGGAAUGUGAAAAGGAAGCAAGAGUUUAAUCUGAAAAACAGGGUAGAGUUAGAGCUUUGGUUUGGUUAUGCUAUGUAUUUUAUAUUUCUCGUAUAACUAGUGAAUCCCAGUGCAAGCGCUCAGUUUGGAUAACAGGACCCUUAUCAAUAUUCUGGAAAUUAUCAGUCCAUUCACAGAGUUUUGUUUUUGAUCUUUGAUUCUUGUGUUAUAGAAGAUGGCAGUAAUGUGAAAUACUAAAUUCCACCAUUAGCCUUUGUUGACCACUUUUACUUUUUAUGUUUGCCAAACCUCAGUGUUGUCUGUAGGAUGGUUUCAGCUCCAUAAAAUCUGAGCUCAUUGGAUUCAUACUACGAGGCUGUGAUUCAGAGUGACAUGUUAAUUUAAGGCAGGUCAUUUUCAAUAAGUGUUUUGUGAGGGAGACCAGACUGUAGGAAAAUGUAAGCCUGUUUAUUGGUGUUAGGGAGGUAUUCAGACUUUGGAGAGAGUCCACAUUGCAUCACUACCAAAGUCCACUGGACAGAAAGCAAGCAUAACACCACAUGCAUAAAUAAAUAAAAGCAGGGAGGUAAUGCACACCUUUCAGUUUAUAUCUAAUACCAUAUUUAUGGCUAUAUAUUACUGGACACUGACUGUAACUUUGAGCUGUGAAUAUUUUCCUACAGCUAGGUUUGCAUUCCCCAGAUGAUACUGUUUAAGGAAAAAAUCUUGGAAGGAUUCCCACUACCUGGUUUGUCCAUACCAGUCUUACAUACUUUUGGGAAAACAGCCAACAGAUUUUCUUUAAAAUUAAAAGAUUUAAUUAGAUCUUAAUAUAUAAAUACUAUCAACCUGAGCAAACUCCAAGUAUCUGGUUAUCAUAACAAUAUACUUCAUCUUUGAAAUAUCACAAGGAUGCCUACCUCUUUUUCCUCUUCGAAAUUGUGGGUUACUUUAAUAAAUAAAUGAUUAAAUUCUUUUAUUGUUCUAUCAAAGAAACUGCUUCGGAUCAUCAGAUAAAGCCAAACCAUUUUUGGCAGGGAAUUAAUUUGUAAUAAGAAAACUGUGCCAGCCAGGGGAGAUGAAGAUUCUAUAAAUUCCAAAUUCUUUCUAAUAGAAUAAAUAAUGGUUGGAGAACUUACAUAGCGCUGUUAAAGAGUCUUUGUUCAAGACAUCACUGCUUGUAUAAGCAUUGCUUCUUGAGAAACCCAAGAUUUCCAGUGAAAAGAAAUCACUACUUGGAAAAUAAUUUUUGAUUUCUGAUAAUAAUUUGCCAAGAUCAGCAUUAUAUUUUUCCCUUUGAAUUUCAAGAGGAAGCCAAAUUCUCAUCUGAACCAGUGAAGUAAACAAUCAACCUCUUCUUGGCUUCAAACCAUUGCGGACAAUUCCCAUUCAGAGGUACAAGAAAAAAGAUAAAUGGUAUUAACUAGCUCUAUCAUAGGGACAUAUAUAUUUGUGCACUUGAAAUUAAUCUCAGUCUUUAACAAAUUAGGCUAGAUUAGACUAGAUUUCAUGUUUCCUUCUUUCAGGUAUUUUUGUUAAAACAUGAUAUUAUGUCUUCAUUUUUUCUUGUUGGCUGAAAUGAUCUCUGGCAAAAAUAUUUCUUCUGUAUUUGUUUUAAGAAUGUGUAAUUCAGUACAACUUUCACAACUUCUUGCACUAUUUCCCAUUUUUGUCUUGAAUACACCCUCUGGCAUAAAAGUCUGCCACAGACAAGGUGUUACCCAAAGGGUUAGGCUCACACCUUUGCUCAGGUGAGCAUUCCAAGUAGGUGCCACUGGCGAACAUUUCAUCCUGAACACUUCACUACUCAGCUGUUUUUAAAACUUCAGUUGAAAUAUGGUUAAUGUUGCACGAUUGUUCACUAGGAGGAGCAUUUACGGCACAUGUGACUGCAUCACCUUGGGAUUUGGAUUGGCAUGGUUUCAGGAGUCUGCCAUUCCUCAGUGUAGGAUCUUGAAACCUUGUCUUACCUUCUGCAUGACACCUUCUUAUCAUGGUUUAACCCCAGCUGACAGUGAAGCACCAUGCAGCCAUUUGCUCACUCUCCCCCAUGGGAUGGGGGAGAGAAUUGGAAGAUAAAAGUGAGCAACCUGAGGGUUCAGAUAAAGACAAUUCAAUAGGUAAAGCAAAAGCUGAAGCACUGCACUGCACUGAAGCAAAGCAAACCAAGGAAUUCAUUCACCACUUCC